UCAAGCUAAGAAGAGCGCAGGGCGAAUGCCUUGGCACUGGGAGCCGACGAAGGACGUGAUAAGCUGCGAUAAGCUGCGGGGAGGAGCAAAUAUCCAUUGAUCCGCAGAUUUCCGAAUGGAGAAAUCCGUAUGGAGAAGUCCAUACAUCAUAUACUGAAUCCAUAGGUAUAUGAGGGAAACCGCCUGAACUGAAACAUCUAAGUAGGGCGAGGAAAAGAAAUCAACCGAGAUACCGCAAGUAGUGGCGAGCGAACGCGGCAGAGGCCAAACCCGUAGUAGAAAUACUAUGGGGGUUGCGGACUGCAUUUAGCAUUGUUGAUCUUUAACCGAAGGGCAUGGGAAGGCCCACCGAAGAACGUGAGAGUCGUGUAGGUGAAAAGGAGAGACAGCGAGCAGGAUCCAGAGUACCGCGGGACACGAGGAAUCCCGUGGGAAGCCGGGGGGACCACCCUCCAAGCCUAAAUACUACCCAGUGACCGAUAGCGUAUAGUACUGUGAAGGAAAGGUGAAAAGGACCCCGGGAGGGGAGUGAAAUAGAACCUGAAACCCUGUGCUUACAAGCACCGAGAGCCCGUCAAUGGGUGAUCGGGUACUUUUUGUAGAACGGUCCGGCGAGUAUAUGGAACAAGCAAGGUUAAGGUCUUCAGGACCGAAGCCGAAGGGAAACCAAGUCUUAAUAGGGCGCACAGUUUGUUUCAUAUGACCCGAAACCGGGUGACCUAUCCAUGUCCAGGUUGAAGUGGCGGUAAAACGCCAUGGAGGACCGAACCAACCCCCGUUGAAAAGGUGGUGGAUGAGGUGUGGAUAGCGGAGAAAUUCCAAUCGAACUCGGAUAUAGCUGGUUCUCCCCGAAAUAGCUUUAGGGCUAGCGUUGUGUUAGAUUACCGGAGGUAAAGCACUGAAUAGGCUAGGGGGCGAGAGUCUACCGACCCUUAUCAAACUCUGAAUGCCGGAUAAUUGAUGCACAGCAGUCAGACAGUGUGAGAUAAGUUUCAUUGUCAAAAGGGAAACAGCCCAGACCCACAGCUAAGGUCCCAAAUGUAUGUUAAGUGGAAAAGGAUGUCCAGUUGCACAAACAACCAGGAUGUUGGCUUAGAAGCAGCCACACAUUCAAAGAGUGCGUAACAGCUCACUGGUCGAGUGACCGGGCGCCGAAAAUGUAACGGGGCUAAACAUACAACCGAAGCUUGGGCUGCACAGCAAUGUGCGGGGUAGGGGAGCGUUGUGUGCGGGGUGAAGCACGAGCGGAAGCGCGUGUGGACUGCACAGAAGUGAGAAUGCCGGAAUGAGUAGCGCGAAUUAUGUGAGAAUCAUAAUGGCCGAAAGCCUAAGGUUUCUGGAGGAAGGUUCGUCCGCUCCAGGUUAGCCGGGAGCUAAGGUGAGGCCGAAAGGCGUAGCCGAUGCACAUACGGUGGAGAUUCCGUAGCCAUCAAAAGAUUUAAGCAGAGGGACACAGUAGAAGGGUACAUGCCGGGCGUUGGUAGCCCCGGUUGCAAGGGACCGAAAUUAGAGUAGGGAAGAUGGACUUGGAUACUGGCGAGAAAAGCUCUGUGGAUAUCUGCGAUGCCCGUACCGCAAACCGACACAGGUAGGUAGGAAGAGGAUUCUAAGGCCAACGGGAGAAGGGUUGUUAAGGAACUCGGCAAGUUGACCCCGUAACUUCGGGAGAAGGGGUGCUCUGGAAACAGAGCCGCAGAGAAUAGGUCCAGGCAACUGUUUAGCAAAAACACAGCUCUCUGCUAAAUCGAAAGAUGAUGUAUAGGGGGUGACGCCUGCCCGGUGCUGGAAGGUUAAGAGGAGGAGUGAGAGCCCCGAAUCGAAGCCCCAGUAAACGGCGGCCGUAACUAUAACGGUCCUAAGGUAGCGAAAUUCCUUGUCAGGUAAGUUCUGACCCG
rnacentral:rRNA from 1 species